rnacentral:lncRNA from 1 species
UGUCAAUCGUAUACAAGCACAGAACCUCAAAGCAUUUUGUCUGAACUUCUAAUGAUUCUACCAAUCCUUCCCCUUAAUAAUUGCUUUUGACAUAAGCAGAAGGUCUGAAGUUUUGUGAGAGGUGUUAAGACAAGAAGAUUAAGCACCAGUUGACUGACCGCAGGAGGAGAAGUUGUAAAGUCGCCUCCGGUGAGAUUUGGAUUCAAACGUAACGAGAGCAGAACACAAGCACACCCUGUGCAACUUUACGAUUACAUCGAAAAGGUACAAGGCCUGAAGUUUUGGAGGAGGGAACUAGUCAA